rnacentral:rRNA from 1 species
AGGGCACCACCAGAUGUGGAGCCUGCGGCUUAAUUUGACUCAACACGGGAAAACUUACCCGGCCCGGACACUGGAAGGAUUGACAGAUUGAGAGCUCUUUCUUGAUUCAGUGGGUGGUGGUGCAUGGCCGUUCUUAGUUGGUGGAGCGAUUUGUCUGGUUAAUUCCGAUAACGAACGAGACUCUAUCCUACUAAAUAUGUGGCCGACUCUUAAACGUUUGAUCUCUUCUUAAAGGGACAGGCGGUGAUUCAACCGCACGAAACAGAGCAAUAACAGGUCUGUGAUGCCCUUAGAUGUCCGGGGGCCGCACGCGCGCUACACUGAAGUGAUCAGCAUGUGUUGUGUUCCUGCUCCGCUGAGAGUGGGGAACCCAUUGAACCUUCUUCGUGAUUGGGAUAAGAGAAUGUUGUUAUUCUCCUUGAUGAAGGAAUAAUAUCCAAGCGCAAGUCAUCAUCUUGUUGCGAUUACUACCCUGCUGCUUUGUACACCCCGCCCGUCGCUACUACUGAUUGAAUGAUG